rnacentral:rRNA from 1 species
CCUGACUUCCAUAGGAGGUCCAGCCUGCCCAGUGACAAAGUUAAACGGCCGCGGUACCCUAACCGUGCGAAGGUAGCGCAAUCACUUGUUCUUUAAAUGAGGACUAGUAUGAAUGGCAUCACGAGGGUUUCACUGUCUCCCCCUUUUAAUCAAUGAAACUGAUCUUCCCGUGAAGAAGCGGGAAUAAACAUAUAAGACGAGAAGACCCCAUGGAGCUUUAAACCCAGUAUCAACUACACUUUCUACACCACACAAGAUUAGUAGACAUGACACCUGGUUUUCGGUUGGGGUGACCACGGAGCAAAACAAAACCUCCAUGAUGAAAGGAAUUUAUUCCUAAUCUAAGAGCCACAGCUCAAAGAAUCAACAAACUGACAUUAAUUGACCCAAAUUAUUUUGAUCAACGAAC